CACAUAAAUUCAUGAUUCCAGUGCCUAAUUAAGUUUUGAGUACACUGAGUAAAACCCUUCUUUUGCAUUUUGAGAGAAACUCAGGAAACUGAAAUGACACCCUUCUUAAUAGAUUGGUCAACAGUUUUAGACAUGGCUCUUACAUUUUUCUUAUGGAUAACUAUAGACAGUCUAGUUUAGUGAGUAAACAGUAAAUUAAAACUUAUAAAGAGAAUAGACUAUGAAAAAGUCAGGUAUUCAACCUUUGAUCAAUUAAAUGUUGGCAAAGAAUAUUGUGGGAUUUACUCAGGACGCACUGAAGUAUACAAGGAUUGUCUCUAAAUUAGGUAUAAUGAACUUAAAAGGGACAAAUUUUCACAGAUAUUGAGUAAUUUGUUAAUCAUUUGUGAUUGUGUACUGGUAGAGGAUCAAUGAGUGAAUUGCGGAGCAAAAGAAUGUAAUAAUGGACAUUUAUUUAGGACAAAGUUUCUUGAAGCACUUAGCAUAGUAUUCACUAUUCAGGAUAAAUUUUUCAGUAAUACAGCAGUAACUUGAAAAUAAAAGUUUUAAGGGUAACAGGAGCUGCCUUAGAAAAUGCAUCACAUUAUCUUGUAAUUGUGCAAAACAAUCCACAUUCUCUAUGGUUCUUUUAUUUAUUGCCCUGUGCCCAGUGGAAGUUGCCUCAUGCAGUGUUAUCCUCCAUGUUAAACAAUUCAAGCUUCUCAAUUCUUUCGAGGACUGAUACAACAAUUAUUACUGAAUCGAGUAUACAAGUAGGACAGAUCAAAGGAGCUGAUUUUGUUGUUUGUUGAUUGAUAUAUAUCAUGCUAUAAAAUAAAUUCAGAUGAGAGAGGGAGGUGAGCCGCUGGUUAAUAUUCUUAAAAUCCAAGCGGUUCACACAUUCCAGGUUUUUUCGGCAUAGUGAAAGUAAUUGAAUACAAGACGUGCAUUUUCGGUAUACAAUACUAUGUACGACUGGCAUAAUUGUGUAUUACGCGAGGCGUAGGCCUCUAGACGUUUGAGGCGUAAAUAUCACCAUGAACUUAAAAUGUCAAAAUAUUAUUAAAAUGCAAAAUAAAUGCAUAAUAAAACAUAAAGCAAUUUUCAAAAUUCAUAAUAUUACAAUUUAAAGUGUGCUAAAAACAAAAAGAAAAUUCUUUUAAGCAACAAAAAGCGAAUAUUACUAUGCUAUUCCCA
rnacentral:lncRNA from 1 species